GUUAGCUCCGGCCCCUUUAAAAGCCUCCCUCGCCGGGGCUCUACCCACAUCUCUCACUAGCUCAUUGUGUCAUCGCCACCUCCCCUACUGCCUCACGCACCCUCGUUCUCUCCUCAAGGCGGCCGGCCAUGGCGACGCCGAACGGGCUGGCGCGGAUCGACACGACGCACCCGGAGAAGAAGGCGGCGGCGGCCAAGCACGAGAACGGGAUCUGCCACGACGACAGCUCGGCGCCGGUGCGGGCGCAGAACAUCGACGAGCUGCACUCCAUGCAGCGGAAGCGCUCCGCGCCCACCACGCCCAUCAAGGACACCAGCGCCUCCCCCUUCGCCGUCGCCGUCUCCGACGAGGACCGCCGGAAGCAGCAGCUCCAGUCCAUCAGCGCGUCGUUGGCGUCGCUGACCCGUGAGACCGGGCCCAAGGUCGUGAGGGGCGAUCCGGCCAGGAAGGGCGAGGCCGCCGCCAAGACCGCGCCGGCGGCAGCGCCGCCGGCGCCGCAGCCCCAUCACCACCACCACCACCACCACGUCGCCCCCACCAUCAGCGUCAGCGACAGCUCCCUCAAGUUCACCCAUGUCCUCUACAACCUCUCGCCCGGCGNNNNGUACGAGCAGGCCAUCAAGUACGAGAAGGGGUCGUUCAUCACGGCCACCGGUGCGCUGGCGACGCUGUCCGGCGCCAAGACCGGCCGGUCGCCCAGGGACAAGCGCAUCGUCAAGGACGAGGCGGCGGCGCAGGAGCUGUGGUGGGGCAAGGGCUCGCCGAACAUCGAGAUGGACGAGCACACGUUCCUGACCAACAGGGAGAGGGCCGUGGACUACCUCAACUCCCUGGACAAGGUGUUCGUCAACGACCAGUUCCUCAACUGGGACCCGGAGAACCGCAUCAAAGUCCGCAUCAUCUCCGCCAGGGCCUACCACUCGCUCUUCAUGCACAACAUGUGUAUCCGUCCGACGGAGGAGGAGCUGGAGAGCUUCGGCACGCCGGACUUCACGAUAUACAACGCCGGCAAGUUCCCCUGCAACCGCUACACGCACUACAUGACGUCGUCGACGAGCGUGGACAUCAACCUGGGGCGGCGGGAGAUGGUCAUCCUGGGCACGCAGUACGCCGGGGAGAUGAAGAAGGGCCUCUUCGGCGUCAUGCACUACCUCAUGCCCAAGAGGCGUAUCCUCUCCCUCCACUCCGGCUGCAACAUGGGCCGCGACGGCGACGUCGCCCUCUUCUUUGGACUCUCAGGUACUGGAAAGACAACACUGUCGACUGAUCACAACAGGCUCCUGAUCGGUGACGACGAGCACUGCUGGAGUGACAAUGGUGUCUCCAACAUCGAGGGUGGCUGCUACGCCAAGUGCAUAGACCUUUCCCGGGAGAAAGAGCCUGACAUUUGGAACGCCAUCAAGUUCGGAACAGUGCUGGAGAACGUUGUCUUUGACGAGCACACCCGUGAAGUCGAUUACACCGACAAAUCUGUCACAGAGAACACUCGUGCCGCUUACCCGAUCGAGUACAUCCCCAACGCCAAGAUACCGUGCGUCGGGCCACACCCCAAGAACGUCAUCCUCUUGGCGUGCGACGCGUUCGGGGUGCUCCCGCCCGUCAGCAAGCUGAACCUGGCGCAGACCAUGUACCACUUCAUCAGCGGCUACACUGCUCUCGUUGCCGGUACAGAGGACGGCAUCAAGGAGCCGCAGGCCACCUUCUCCGCGUGCUUCGGCGCGGCGUUCAUCAUGCUCCACCCGACCAAGUACGCCGCCAUGCUCGCCGAGAAGAUGCAGACGUACGGCGCCACCGGGUGGCUUGUCAACACCGGCUGGUCCGGUGGAAGGUACGGCGUCGGCAAGCGGAUCAAGCUGCCAUACACCAGGAAGAUCAUCGACGCCAUCCACUCCGGCGAGCUCCUCACGGCCAACUACCAGAAGACCGAGGUCUUCGGCCUCGAGAUCCCCACCGCGAUCGAGGGCGUGCCGUCUGAGAUCCUCGACCCGAUCAAUACCUGGACGGACAAGGCCGCGUACAAGGAGACGCUCCUGAAGCUGGCCGGCCUGUUCGGGAAGAACUUCGAGGUGUUCGCCAGCUACAAGAUCGGGGAGGACAGCACCCUCACCGAGGAGAUCCUUGCCGCUGGACCCAAAGUCUGAUUUCCCACGAAGCAGAUGAAGAGCGCGAUGCGGUGGAAUUGUGUUUUUUCAGAAUAAAGCAGUGGUGUGUGUGUGUGUGCCGUGUAGGUCGACGAUGAUGAUGAUGACGAAAAAUGGGUCCAUGUGCGGGAGGUACUAGUAGAGUUGGCUCCGUAUAUUUUUCAUGCGUAGUGUUAGUUUCUGUCACAGAUUGGUGCUUUGUUUUCGCUAUGUACAGAUGCACUGUGCUUUCGUAUUUGGAACUCGGAUCGGUCUGCCUGAUAUGAUCGUAUGAGUGUAUGACCCUGUGUUCACCCCAGUUAAUGCAUAACACCAUAUUAUUCUGCUUGGGA
rnacentral:rRNA from 1 species